UACGUAGGGUGCGAGCGUUGUCCGGAAUUAUUGGGCGUAAAGGGCUCGUAGGCGGUUUGUCGCGUCGGGAGUGAAAUCCUACGGCUUAACUGUGGGCUUGCUUUCGAUACGGGCAGACUAGAGGUAUGCAGGGGAGAACGGAAUUCCUGGUGUAGCGGUGAAAUGCGCAGAUAUCAAGAGGAACACCUGAGGUGAAGACGGGUUGCUGGGCCGACACUGACGCUGAGUGCGCGAAAGCCAGGGGAGGCAAACGGG
rnacentral:rRNA from 1 species